GCAAGUCGAGCGGUAGCAGGUCCUUCGGGAUGCUGACGAGCGGCGGACGGGUGAGUAAUGCAUAGGAAUCUGCCCGGUAGUGGGGGAUAACCUGGGGAAACCCAGGCUAAUACCGCAUACGUCCUACGGGAGAAAGGGGGCUUCGGCUCCCGCUAUUGGAUGAGCCUAUGUCGGAUUAGCUAGUUGGUAAGGUAAUGGCUUACCAAGGCAACGAUCCGUAGCUGGUCUGAGAGGAUGAUCAGCCACAUCGGGACCGAGACACGGCCCGAACUCCUACGGGAGGCAGCAGUGGGGAAUAUUGGACAAUGGGGGCAACCCUGAUCCAGCCAUGCCGCGUGUGUGAAGAAGGCCCUCGGGUUGUAAAGCACUUUCAGCGAGGAAGAACGCCUAGCGGUUAAUACCCGCUAGGAAAGACAUCACUCGCAGGAGAAGCACCGGCUAACUCCGUGCCAGCAGCCGCGGUAAUACGGAGGGUGCAAGCGUUAAUCGGAAUUACUGGGCGUAAAGCGCGCGUAGGUGGCUUGAUAAGCCGGUUGUGAAAGCCCCGGGCUCAACCUGGGAACGGCAUCCGGAACUGUCAGGCUA
rnacentral:rRNA from 1 species